CGCCAGACUCCUACGGGAGGCAGCAGUGAGGAAUAUUGGUCAAUGGGAGGAAUCCUGAACCAGCCAUGCCGCGUGCAGGACGACGGCUCUACGAGUUGUAAACUGCUUUUGUACCGGGGUAAAAUGCCUUACGAGUAGGGUUUUGAAAGUACGGUACGAAUAAGGAUCGGCUAACUCCGUGCCAGCAGCCGCGGUAAUACGGAGGAUCCGAGCGUUAUCCGGAUUCAUUGGGUUUAAAGGGUGCGUAGGCGGAAUGCCAAGUCAGGGGUAAAAUCGCGGGGCUCAACCUCGCUCCGCCGUUGAAACUGGCGUUCUUGAGUGGGCGAGAAGUACGCGGAAUGCGCGGUGUAGCGGUGAAAUGCAUAGAUAUCGCGCAGAACUCCGAUUGCGAAGGCAGCGUACCGGCGCCGGACUGACGCUGAGGCACGAAAGCGUGGGUAUCGAACAGGAUUAGAUACCCCAGUACA
rnacentral:rRNA from 1 species